GACGAACGCUGGCGGCGUGCCUAAUACAUGCAAGUCGAACGCUGAAGGAGGAGCUUGCUCUUCUGGAUGAGUUGCGAACGGGUGAGUAACGCGUAGGUAACCUGCCUUGUAGCGGGGGAUAACUAUUGGAAACGAUAGCUAAUACCGCAUAACAGUAGAUGUUGCAUGACAUUUACUUAAAAGUUGCAAUUGCAUCACUACCAGAUGGACCUGCGUUGUAUUAGCUAGGUGGGGGGGUAACGGCUCACCAAGGCGACGAUACAUAGCCGACCUGAGAAGGCGGUCGGCCACACUGGGACUGGGAACAGGCCCCGACUCCCAAGGGAGGCAGCAGGAGGGGAUUUUCGGCAAUGGACGGAAGGCUGACCGAGGAAAGCCGGGGGAGGGGAGAAGGGUUUCGGAUCGUUAAGCUCUGUUGUAAGAGAAGAAAGAGUGUGAGAGUGGAAAGUUCACACUGUGACGGUAUCUUACCAGAAAGGGACGGCUAACUACGUG
rnacentral:rRNA from 1 species